CCAUCCUUCUCCAGUUUGUUGUUGUAGUCAUGGUGUGUGACGUCAUUCAUUCAUUCAUUCAUUCAUUCAUUCAUUCAUUCAUUCAUUCGUUCAUUCGUUCAUUCAUUCAUUCAUUCGUUCACUCAUUAUGAGUUGCCAACCUGGAAAAACAUCUCAUGCCUUCAUCACAUCGUGACAGCCACCAGCCAAUCAUAUCCCUCGAGCUGGAGAUGGAGAUGGAGCUGGUGUGUUUCUGUGUGUGUGUGUUUGUGUGUGUAUGUGCGUGUGCGUGUGCGUGUGCGUGUGAGGAGCUGGGUACAGAAGCAGUCAGUGUCGAUAAUUCUUCAAAGCUUGACAGAGUUCAUGUCAGCUAGAGGAGCAAACCAAGACAGGAUGGUCUCCCCUAACACACACACACACACACACACACACACACACACAUUAGUCAGAGGUAUUUAAGAGUGGAAGAUGGCAGCAUAUGACUUCAUUUAAAUACAUCUACAUCUAACUGUCCUCUAACAGCAAAUGUUGGUCUUUAUAAUCGUGUCGCUUCCGUUUGAAAACUGAGAAAGUCAUGAAAUAUGUUCAAGUUACUGCUUCAGAAAAACAUAUGGCAUCAUAACAGAUGUUAGUUAACUGCACAGAAGUCUUGAACAUGAACAACUUUAAGUCAAAUGUCAGAUGACCGCUAGGCCUGUAGUUAGCCACAAGACCGCUAGGCCUGUAGUUAGCCACAAGACCGCUAGGCCUGUAGUUAGCCUGCUGGGUACUGAAGCUGCAGUCCUCACUGGACUCAGGAACACCACUCUACCUUCAGGGGAGCAGGGAGAACAGAGAGAGCACUGAGAUGGAGAGAGAGAGAGAGAGAGAAGGGAGAGAGAGAGAGAGAGAGUACUGAGAUGGAGAGAGAGAGAGAGCACUGAGAUGGAGAGAGAGAGAGAGUGUACUGAGAUGGAGAGAGAGAGAGUGAUGGAGAGAGAGUACUGAGAUGAAAGGAGAGAGAGAGAGAGAGUGAUGGAGACAGAGAGAGAGAGCACUGAGAUGGAGAGAGAGAGAGAGAGUGAGAGAGAGAAAAACAGAAAGAGAGCGAAAAAGGUUGAAGACAGAGAGAGACAGAAGAUUUCAGAGGAUGGAUGAGUGUGUGUGACAUGUACAGAUUAUUGUGUGUGUGUGUGUGUGUGUGUGAGAGAAUGAGAAAGACAGACAGACAGAGAGAGAGAGAGCGAGUGUGUGUGUGUGUGAAAGAGAAAGACAGACAGACAGACAGAGAGAGAGUGUGUGUGUGUGUGUGUACCAACAUGACUGCUUAUGAAGAGGGUGGAGUCUCAGGGUUAGAGAUCUGUGUUGCCAUGGUGUUGUGUUUGUGUUGUCACGACGAUCAUUCCUGCUUGCUAUGAGAAGGAGGAGGUGGGGCUGGGUGCCACCAGAUCCCAGGGGUGUAGCAGAGCCAGAUCAGAGCCAGAUUCCUGCCAGACCAGAUCAGAGCCACAUCACAGCCACAUCAGAGCCAGAUCAGAGCCAGAUUCCUGCCGUGUUUGUGGGCUUCAAUCCCACAGUCGAUCCAGUCCUGACCCGGUACCCAUCCGUACUGGACCAACACAGGACCUGGUGUGUGUGUUGCCUACCACUACACACACACACACACACACACACACACACACACUCUGGAUCCAUCCCAGGAGUGAUGUUCUUGCGGGGCUUGGUUCUGCUUUGAGCUCCUAAAUGCUCCAAAUCUGUCCUCUCAGGGUUGUCCCGUGAUACGCUGAAGAACCUGCUCAGGAGCCCACACACACACACACACACACACACACACACACACACACACCA
ensembl:lncRNA